GGCUACCUGGCGCAAUGGUAGCGCGUUUGGCUUCGAUUGCUGAAUUGCACCAAAAGGUUGCAGGUUCGAGUCCUGCGGUGGUCA